AGAACACUAAGGCUAGAGAGGGAGCCUUGGACCCCCACGAAGCCAGCUCUGACUCAGGAACUUGUGGGAUUCUGCGCUAAUGCUUUAUUUUGCUUUUCCCCUGGUAGGAGAAGAGUCACACCUAUAGGAAUUCGUUUCACAAAAAAAGCAAGAUAUCAAACAUUUAUAAGCUUUGAAAUCACAAAUGAAGUAUGGGUUCAGAAAAAAAAAAAAACACUAUAUAAAACAGUAUUUGGACAUUUCUUUUCAUCAUUCACUUUUAUGGAUGCCCUCCAGUCGUACUAUCCAGAUGGCCAGGUUACAAGUCUGCGGUGACAUAAAAGCCUUUUAUAUAUAAGUAAGACACUGAUGAGUAGACUUCUGAAUGAAUAUACGACUAAGUAUAUUUUAUUCAUCUUUGCACGUAAUCUCAUUGUACAAAGCCUACCCGAGUAAAUGAUAACAUUUGGCCAGCAAACAUAUGGUUAUGUGCUCAAUGACAUAGACAUACAGUAGAAACAGUCAAUGAAAAAUGUCUACUAUUUCUACAGGAUAAUUCACUUUAAUUGACAUGGAGAUUUUAAAUGAUUCGUCUUUUACUCUGCCCAGUAAUCCUACACAGAGGAAAAAAAAAAAAAGCAGCCCAUCAUUCAGUCAACGCUGAGAUAAUUACAGAGCAUGUGAAAUUUCAUUAAAGGAUUAUUUAUGCCAUGUUUAUUCCAUCCCUUUUAUAACGUUUAUCAACUAAUAACUGGAGAUCAAUACCCACAGAUGCAAUAAGGCAUCUAGUUUUAAAGGUUUUUUGCUUCAGUUUUCAUUCUUUAAUAAACCCCA
rnacentral:lncRNA from 1 species